UACGGGGGGAGCAAGCGUUGUUCGGAUUUACUGGGCGUAAAGGGCGCGUAGGCGGCGUAACAAGUCACUUGUGAAAUCUCCGGGCUUAACUCGGAGCGGUCAAGUGAUACUGUUGUGCUAGAGUGCGGAAGGGGCUACUGGAAUUCUCGGUGUAGCGGUGAAAUGCGUAGAUAUCGAGAGGAACACCUGCGGCGAAGGCGGGUAGCUGGGCCGACACUGACGCUGAUGCGCGAAAGCCAGGGGAGCAAACGGG
rnacentral:rRNA from 1 species